GCGGAUGUGGCGGAAUUGGUAGACGCGCUAGCUUCAGGAGUUAGUAAGAGCAAUCUUGUGGAGGUUCAAGUCCUCUCAUCCGCACCA
rnacentral:tRNA from 1 species